AGGAAUUUCAUCCAUCAAUUGGAAAGAUCUUCUGGCACAGUUGAAUAUCAAGGGCCUGCAAAGACCACUGGAUGAUCUCAAAAAGUGCAUAUCCAGAAGUGUUUUGUUGACCUCACAGAACCUUCAGGAAGAGCAAUCAGAGAACCAACUUCAGUAAGUAGACAGGCUCCUGGAAAAAAAAGAAAUUAUCAUGUCUCUGUGAUAAGCCAAAAUUUGGACUCAUAUUUCAGAGGUUUUUUCUUGCCCUGGAGACUCAAUGAUUUUGUCUAGUGGAUGAGAAGUUACUGGACAUCUGGAUUGGGUGCUUGGCAAGAAGAAGCUCUCAAGAGAUGGUGAAUGCUGCCAAUUUCCAAUUGGCCAAGACACAUUACAAGGAUACCCUUCUCCCUGAGCAGCCUGGCAUUUCUAUUCCAAUUGGAAUCUGCAACACGAAGACACAUGGGGAGAAAGAUUAAACAAAACUUCAGUUUUCCAGUCCAGGUGAAUCCUUCAUUUUUUUUUUUUUCUGGUUGGCUCUAACCUUUUCAUCAUUGACCAUUUUAAAUACUAGAGCGCUGUGAGAAUGUGACAAAAUAGUUUUCAGAAUUGGUAGACAGCUGGGGGCACGUCUAUUUUUAGAGAUUGAAUUUGCCUCAACAGUUCAAAUUGUUACUAACAAAAUUUUAGAUUUGCAAUGUGAAGCAACCUGCCUGUCAUGUUGGCCCGGGCUCAAGCAGCUCCCGCUCCUGAUGCAUGUUUGGGAAAUGGUGACAGCUGUGCUCUUUGCCUGGCUGCUUCCAUUUAUGAAAACAUGGGGUAAAUGACAGUCACCCCCUUAGGCCCCUUUUACUGUGAGU